CAUCACCCAGCGGCGGAAAGAACUGGAUUCUGCCAGAUGCCAGGGAGAGUUAUGGCCCCUAUCUCUCCCUCAGGACGGGAGCCCCUCGGGAAAGGGCCUGGCGAGUGGCGCCCUUCUGCUGGUGAUGUUUCCGGAGCGGCACAGAGACCAGCAGGCAUAUGCUGGGCACGGACCUCCUUUCCCCCUCACAGCGGCUGCCAGAGACACGGAUCACUCUUGCCGUUACCCAGAGGAGCAAAGCUGAGGCUCAGAGACGGCACCGUCAUGCGCCAUUGCAGCCUGCUUCUAUUUGUCCGUGAGCAACUGAGGACAGUACCUGUCUCUUGUCUCUGAUUGUCCAGCUCCUUACAAGCCCAGCACGCACUAUGUGCUAGGUAUAUGACCUGAAAGACAUCCUUCAAAGGGAAUUGAUUCCACAAAAGAUGGAGGAGGGGAGGGAAGGGAAGGGAAGUCCGUUUAAUGAAGGGAAGGAAAAUGACAGGCAGAAGCUGUGUUUCCAUCCCCAGGCUUUUUAAUGCUAGAUUUUUGGGGCAUCGGAGGCAAUAGGAAGGAUCUUCCCAGUCACCGCCCAUUGGCUAAGAGUGGUUAGGUCCUCAGAGGCACCUUAGGCCGGUCAUACCUCCCUGCUUUAGGUUCCUCAACUGAAUAACGAAGAAGACAGUCCAUUUUUGUAAAGCCUCUGCUCGCGUGCCCUCUGCCUCACCAGUACGGUGGGGUUAUUUCAGAACAUGUGUCCUGCUAUGA